UGAGUGUUUCAGGAAGAGGCAGCAUUAAUUGCUGCCUCAAGACCGUGAGGCUGAGCUCACAAUAGGCAAACACAUUACUUUGUAAAUGAAGGAUUAAGUCAGAAAACCUUGCUAAUAACCUACUUCAGAAACUCCAUAAUCACCGUGGUGUGAUGGUAAGGGAAUGAAAGGCCUAUAUUUAUUCAGAUGGAUUUUUAGAAAAAUAAAUUAUGAAGAACAAAGCCAUCAUGAAGAAUACAAAGAAUUGGUGUAUUUCUCCUCAAUGACUUAAAGGAAGAGUUGAAGUAGCUGAAGUGUUUAUCAGAGAGAAGUCGCUGAUCGUGUCUCCAGACACACAGAAACUGCAGAACGGUAAUACAGUAAUCUAGGAACAGCUUUGGUGUUUGGAUGCUCCCAGCUGAAUUGGCAAUAGAGAUGUCUUAAACUACUUCUGUCUUUCUGACUCAUCUUGUCCAAACUAUUCUGGGUGCUUCCUGAAAACAAAUAAAAUUUGAAAGCCAUUGAAACUAUUUCUCUAGCAACCAGAAAUCUUCCUUUUCCUUUCUUUUUGGAGGCAAAAUCUUCUCUCCCAUCAAAUGUCAACAGUGAAGAAUCCUCACCCACAUAUAUGGUAGAAAGGGCACUCAAGUCUAACAUUUAGUAUAAUUAUGUAAUAGCUCCCCCACAUUAGUCAGACCUCGGAUAUAGGAAGAUUGUUAAAUUAAGGAAGAUUUAAAAUUAUAUUGCAGCAUCCUUGUCAUUAAGUUGUCCUUCUGAAAAAGCAUACA